rnacentral:lncRNA from 1 species
CCUGGCUGCUGACGAGUGGGAUGUCGCCCUUCUAAGCUGCACUGCUCUGCCUAAUAUCUGCUUCUUAUCUACUGCUUACACAGGGCCAUACAGAUGGAUGGAAAGAUAUGGUGCUUAUCAGACAGAUGAAGAUGGGAUCCAGAGAAGAGUAGGAAAGGAAAUGAGGAGGAGGAGGAGAGAGAAGAGGGAGCUGAUGGUUACACCAGAUUUGGGCACCUGUGGGACAGAGGGAAGGGUGACAUAGCUGAGAGUGCCAGAAAAAAGGAGGAGGUGCAGAUGAAGACGGACAGAUAAAGUGUCUGAUGUUUGAGGUUGCCACAGAUGAUGCAGAAGGAAAUAUGAGGAAGGCUGCAAGGCUGGCAUCCAGCCCUGAGUCAGAAAGCAGUACCACUGUGAAAGGAUGGUGGCAGCAUGAUCUCCUGAUGUCCAGGGAAACAUCUGUUCUCCAGUCACUCAGAAGAAUAUAGUUGAAAGAGGCACAAGUCUGCUGAUUAAGUUAACAUCCAGGAACACCUGAGAUCAGAAGAGAGGGGGAAAGCAUUAUCUCUAAGUACCUAGGCCAUCAGGAUGGACCUGAAGUACAGCAGAGUGGAACAAGCAACGGCAGAUAUACUAAACUAAAUGACUCAGAAAAAGAAAGCUAAAGAAAGAAAAAAAAAGAAGAAGGAAGAGAGGAAGGGAGGGAGGAAGGGAAGGACAAAUAUGAGGAACAAGAAAAAGUACAUUUUAAGUCAACUUGGGAGGAGAAAGAAGCAAGGGAACAAGCAAUUGAGAAGAAACAGGGAUGAAGAAUCAAAAUUAAUCUCCACAUGUAAUUUAGGUAAAGGAAUUUCACUCCAUUCAUUUUAUAAAAUGAAUAAAGCUGCCAUGCAAAUACUGGUGCAAUUAAAUCAUAUUUCUCUGUUGAAG